AAAGAGGAUCCUGACCCUUGUUCAAUGACGAACUUCAUGAUUUACAAGAUUGUAACAACAAAACAUUUAACAUUGGUGAAGUUUUCCUAAUAUUCAUGUGUGAAGGUUUAGCAAUUGAAAGGAAACAAGGUACUACCACAAUAAAAUUCAGACGCAAACAGAAGAUAUUUCUUACCCCUUUGGGUCAAUCUCGAUGAUGUUCAUCUUCUCCAAUUGCUGAAGGAUAUGACGAGGAAUUGCACCGCUGCUCUUGCAGAAAUGGGGUGGACGGCUACCAUUCCUCUUGCGGCCACCAUAGAUCUUUCGGAAGCCACCAACACCAAUGCCAUGCCUCAAGUAAACCUUCCUUGCCAUGGAUGCUGCA